UACGAAGGGUGCAAACGUUGCUCGGAAUUAUUGGGCGUAAAGCGCACGUAGGCGGCUUUGCACGUUCGAUGUGAAAUCCCUCGGCUCAACCAAGGAAGUGCAUCGAAAACUGCAGAGCUUGAGUACAAAAGAGGAUCGCGGAAUUCCCGGUGUAGAGGUGAAAUUCGUAGAUAUCGGGAGGAACACCAGUGGCGAAGGCGACAUCCUGGACCGGUAUUGACGCUGAGGCGCGAAAGCCAGGGGAGCAAACGGG
rnacentral:rRNA from 1 species